UGGGGAAUAUUGGACAAUGGGGGCAACCCUGAUCCAGCCAUGCCGCGUGAGUGAUGAAGGCCUUAGGGUCGUAAAGCUCUUUCGCCUGUGAAGAUAAUGACGGUAGCAGGUAAAGAAACCCCGGCUAACUCCGUGCCAGCAGCCGCGGUAAUACGGAGGGGGUUAGCGUUGUUCGGAAUUACUGGGCGUAAAGCGCACGUAGGCGGUCUAAUCAGUCAGUGGUGAAAGCCCUGGGCUCAACCCAGGAAUUGCCUUUGAUACUGUUAGACUAGAGUUCGGGAGAGGAUAGUGGAAUUCCAAGUGUAGAGGUGAAAUUCGUAGAUAUUUGGAGGAACACCAGUGGCGAAGGCGGCUCACUGGCUCGAUACUGACGCUGAGGUGCGAAAGUGUGGGGAGCAAACAGGAUUAGAUACCCUGGUAGUCCACACCGUAAACGAUGAAUGCCAGUCGUCGGGUAGCAUGCUAUUCGGUGACACACCUAACGGAUUAAGCAUUCCGCCU
rnacentral:rRNA from 1 species